UACAGAGGUCUCAACCGUUGUUCGGAUUCAUUGGGCGUAAAGGGUGCGUAGGCGGUCGUGCAAGUCGGAUGUGAAAGCCCAGGGCUCAACCCUGGAAGUGCACUCGAAACUCCCGAGCUGGAGUCCCGGAGAGGAAGGCGGAAUUCUCGGUGUAGAGGUGAAAUUCGUAGAUAUCGAGAGGAACACCUGUGGCGAAGGCGGCCUUCUGGACGGUGACUGACGCUGAGAUGCGAAAGCGUGGGGAGCAAACAGG
rnacentral:rRNA from 1 species